rnacentral:rRNA from 1 species
AUUGAACGCUGGCGGCAGGCCUAACACAUGCAAGUCGAGCGGAGAGGCGGACGGGUGAGGAAUGCCUAGGAAGCUGCCUGGUGGUAGGGGAUAACGUACGGAAACAGGCGCUAAUACCGCAUACUAGCAGAUGAGCCUCGGUCGGCUUAGCUAGUUGGUGGGGUAAAGGACUACCAAGGCGACGAUCCGUAACUGGGCUGAGAGGAUGAUCAGUCACACUGGAACUGAGACACGGUCCAGACUCCUACGGGAGGCAGCAGUGGGGAAUAUUGGACAAUGGGCGAAAGCCUGAUGCAGCCAUGCCGCGUGUGUGAAGAAGGUCUUCGGAUUGUAAAGUACUUUAAGUUGGGAGGCGUUACCAACAGAAUAAGCACCGGCUAACUUCGGGCCAGCAGCCGCGGUAAUAC